CGAUUUAAAUUCCUACUUAGUAUAUAAGGUGGCCACUGGCUGGUAAUUGGCCAGACGACAUUCUUACUUCAGUAGUAACGGUUCCCGAAGCCAUGCGGUCGCUAGUACUUUUCGCCCUUCUUUCAUUGGCUGCUGCCAAGCCUAAACCCGGUGGUCUGUGGGGAGCACCAGCCGUCUCAUCUCUGAGCUAUGUGCACCAGCCCUUAGCCGUAGCCCAGCCGGUGGCGGUCGCCCAGCCCAUAGUGCACGCCGCGCCCGCCGCCGUCAUCGCCAAGCCUGC